rnacentral:lncRNA from 1 species
UCAGACUCAAUUGUCAGCCAAUAGUAGCAUGCUCUCAACAUCUUCUUAGCCAUAACAUAUCCAUUGGAAUGAGUACCAAAUCAACCCUCAUGGGCUUCAGUCAUCAACAGGUCUACUUUGUGUCUAUCCAUGCAUCUGAGCAGAACCAAAUCAAAAUUCCUCUUGUAAAGCACAUCACUAUUAAGGUAGAAACUGCCAAAUAAUCUCCUCAAAGUCUUUUUAUCUUUAACAGAUGCCCCAGGCGGGUAAGUCUGGCUUUGAAGAAAACACUUGAUAUCAUAAUACCAC